rnacentral:rRNA from 1 species
CCCCUAGAUGUUCUGGGCCGCACGCGCGCUACACUGAACAGUUCAACAAGUCUUAACCUUGGCCGAUAGGUCUGGGUAAUCUUUGAACGCUGUUCGUGAUUGGGAUAGACCUUUGCAAUUAUGGGUCUUCAACGAGGAAUGCCUAGUAAGCGCAAGUCAUCAGCUUGCGUUGAUUACGUCCCUGCCCUUUGUACACACCGCCCGUCGCUCCUACCGAUUGAAUGGUCCGGUGAAGCGUUCGGACCGUGGCCUUUGGACGGUUCGCCGUCUGUUGGCUGCGGGAAGUUCGUUAAACCUUAUCAUUUAGAGGAAGGAGAANUCGUANCA